AAAUUGAAGAGUUUGAUCAUGGCUCAGAUUGAACGCUGGCGGCAGGCCUAACACAUGCAAGUCGAACGGUAACAGGAAACAGCUUGCUGUUUCGCUGACGAGUGGCGGACGGGUGAGUAAUGUCUGGGAAACUGCCCGAUGGAGGGGGAUAACUACUGGAAACGGUAGCUAAUACCGCAUAACGUCGCAAGACCAAAGAGGGGGACCUUCGGGCCUCUUGCUAUCGGAUGUGCCCAGAUGGGAUUAGCUAGUAGGUGGGGUAACGGCUCACCUAGGCGACGAUCCCUAGCUGGUCUGAGAGGAUGACCAGCCACACUGGAACUGAGACACGGUCCAGACUCCUACGGGAGGCAGCAGUGGGGAAUAUUGCACAAUGGGCGCAAGCCUGAUGCAGCCAUGCCGCGUGUAUGAAGAAGGCCUUCGGGUUGUAAAGUACUUUCAGCGGGGAGGAAGGGAGUAAAGUUAAUACCUUUACUCAUUGACGUUACCCGCAGAAGAAGCACCGGCUAACUCCGUGCCAGCAGCCGCGGUAAUACGGAGGGUGCAAGCGUUAAUCGGAAUUACUGGGCGUAAAGCGCACGCAGGCGGUUUGUUAAGUCAGAUGUGAAAUCCCCGGGCUCAACCUGGGAACUGCAUCUGAUACUGGCAAGCUUGAGUCUCGUAGAGGG
rnacentral:rRNA from 1 species